UACAGUUGAAUAUUCAAUUUUUAAAAAAGCGCAUUAAAUGUGCCUAAAAUGUGCCUAUCUCUAUCAGUUACAUCACAGAUGGGUUAACAUUGUUUAAUAUUUAAUUAUUUUAUAGAUAUGCCUUGAAUCUGAGUAUAAAGGUGUUGUGCGCUGUGCAGACAUCAUCAAUGUGGAGGUCUGAUGCCAAUAUGACCAUAAGUAUUAGUGUCGAACUUCAUAUGGCAGCAAGUUUUCAAAGGCAUGUAUACAAUUUAAAGAUAAAAACAAUAUCAAUACGUGUUGGAUCUACAUAUAUUAUGAUUAUAAUAUACCCAAAGUAGGUAAUAAAUGGGUUCGAAGAUAGAAUUUUUACAUGUAGAUAUAUUGGAAAUUUUCAGAUAUAAGAAGGCAAAUAAAACUGAUGUAAAAUACACUGUCCGGUAGUUGGAUAAAAUAUCCAAAGUCGACACAGCCAAAGGUCACAACGACAAUGGAGGAAUGAACUGCAUCCUCAUUCAUCAAGGCAACAGGCCAUUGUCACCAACGCCUGGAAUUCUUAAUUGAGGUUAAAUGCCCAUUUUCAGCUCGAGCAAUGACAAUUAAAGAGGCACAUGUUGGGAUUCCCCUCUUGAAUGUGAUGCAAGGGAUGGUUCGCUGCACCUCAAAAGACAGUAUGAAUAUUGACAUCACAUCCAAGGACAACAACACCUGAAAGACACCCUAUGCUGUGAUUUCCUAGUGUGGACUCCUAUUGACACUCAAAGAGUUCACAUCGACAAAGAUGUAUUAUGGUCAAAAAACAUUUCAAGCGAGAGAGAGUUUAAUUAUAAUAUUAUAAUAAAAAAGUAUUUUGCUGUC